rnacentral:rRNA from 1 species
CCCUUAGGUGUUCUGGGCCGCACGCGUGCUACACUGAGUGGAUCAGCGGGUCAGGUUGCGCGAAAGCGUUUCCUAAUCUUGAAAUCCGCUCGUGAUGGGGAUUGACGGUUGCAAUUUUCUGUCAUGAACGAGGAAUACCUUGUAAGCGCGAGUCAUCAUCCCGCGCUGAAUACGUCCCUGCCCUUUGUACACACCGCCCGUCGCUCCUACCGAUUGAGUGGUCCGGUGAGGCUUUGGGAUCUGAGCGGAAAGAGCGUUUCGCUCGUUCUGCCCGGAAAACUCAGUCGAACCUUAUCAUUUAGAGGAAGGAGAAGUCGUAACA